UACGUAGGGCGCAAGCGUUUGUCCGGAAUUAUUGGGCGUAAAGAGCUCGUAGGCGGCUUGUCACGUCGAUUGUGAAAGCCCGAGGCUUAACCUCGGGUCUGCAGUCGAUACGGGCUAGCUAGAGUGUGGUAGGGGAGAUCGGAAUUCCUGGUGUAGCGGUGAAAUGCGCAGAUAUCAGGAGGAACACCGGUGGCGAAGGCGGAUCUCUGGGCCAUUACUGACGCUGAGACGCGAAAGCGUGGGGAGCGAACAGG
rnacentral:rRNA from 1 species